rnacentral:misc_RNA from 1 species
AAGUCGUAACAAGGUUUCCGUAGGUGAACCUUCGGAAGGAUCACCCCCUGUGAACUUUUACACUUGCUCUCGAAGCUCGCCGGAAUUGCUGGUAGUGAAAGUGUCAUUGAUUGUGUAAGGAUAACGCUUUUCGAUCACUAGAGGCCGACACCGGCCGGUCACCAGGUCGCAGUGGCUUCGGCCCCCUAUAUUCACCCCACUACCUUUAAUCGUAGGAAACUGCUUGGCAUCAAAACGAACAACUGUUAACAAUGGAUAUCUUGGUUCUC